UUCUCGACUUGGGUCGUCGCGUUCGGGGUUUCCUUGUUCCCUCCCUUCAUCGGCCAAGAAGACGGUGAUCGAGGCUGUGGCUCAAGAAAUUCGCUGAUCUUUCCUUCAUCCGAGAACAUGGCGCGGGAUUCAGAUAAAACUCUGUACCUUCUGUAACGAUUUUCCUUCUUUUUGCGCUUGAAAUCCUAUUCGUAGUAGUUCGACAUUGUUCUCUGAUAUUUCUGGACGGAUCUUGUUGUGAUACACGAUGAUUUGUAGAUGUGGCGAUUGUUCAACAUCUUGUACGAUUACUGAUCUUUUUUUUUAUUAUUGAGGUUGCAGAUCACCAAUUGUAGCGUCCUCUGCGAGAUCAUCGAGGUCCAUUACGUUAAAUUUUGCUUAGUGUUUAUUCUUUUAGGUUUUGCGGAUUGUUCUGGCCAUCUGUUAAGGAAUUUUCUUGUGGUUUGUAGUUGUAUGGAUAGUUUGGUAUUGGUGGGAAAUUCUGUUUUUAGUUCUAUGAUUGGUAUUGAGGGUUGUCUUUGUGUUGAGUUGAUUGCAUCUCAUAUGUGUGUGUAGGACCAGAGCUUUUUCUUUACCAUGGGUGCUCCAUUUUGUGUCCUUGUUUUGGCAUAUGGGAAUCUGCUGCAUCCUUCUUGCUUUUGGAGUGCUGUUUGCUAAUGGAGGAGCAAAGGAUGAGAUGGCUUGCGGUCAACCUUACAGCGGAGCAGCCUGAUGCACGGAUUAGAUUAGAAGCUUGCGCACAGACAUACACAACUCUGUGACCAUUCUACAGCACUCGUAGAUUGGGAGUGUACCUAAUUGAAUGCCAUUCACCUUGUGCCUCCACUGUUGCCAGCUGCAGAAAACAACCGACACCAGACACCAUACAUAAUCUACCAGGUAAAAUAAAGGAAGAAGCAGGAUGUAGUUUGUUCCAUUCUUACCUUGCUCCAACUGUUGCUCGAUCUUUUCCUUCAUAUCUUGACGUUGGUGAUUGUUGAGGAGCUGAUUUUCGUCUAUGGAGAGCUGCCUCAGAGCCUCUGACAACUUUCUGUACUUAGUUACCACUUGCUUAUACAAGCCAAGCAACUGCUGCACGUCCUCCAA